rfam:Triticum urartu cultivar G1812 contig240780, whole genome shotgun sequence.
CUAGUACUCCCUCCAUUCGGAAUUACUUGUCACAAAAAUGGAUGUGUCUACAACUAAAAUACAUCUAGAUACAUUCAUUUCUUGGACGAGUAAUUCCGAACGGAGGGAGUAUGUA